GGCGGGGCAGAGGGGCGGAGCCGGGGCUUCCCCGGGCUGAGUUCGGGCUCAGGCCUUCGGGCAGGGCCGCAGCCGGCUCCGCGCCACCUGACCACAGCCCGGUGGCCCGCCAAGCAGAGCCGGCCGCACCGCGGUCGGCGAGGCCCAGCUCCGGCUGCCCGGGCGCGCGGGGCGACCUGUGGGGACUCGACAUGACGGGAGACCGAGGACCAGGGAGAGCGGAUGGAUGAAAUCACAAGUAGAUGGAGAGGCAGGCAGAGAGAGAGAGAGGGAAGCAGGCUCCCCGCUGAGCAGAGAGCCCGACGCGGGACUCGAUCCCAGGACCCGGAGAUCAUGACCUGAGCUGAAGGCAGCAGCUUAACCCACUGAGCCACCCAGGCGCCCCGGGAAAGAGAAAAUCUUAAGCAGACUCCACACUCCGCGGGGAAUGGGACAAGGGGCUCAAUCCCAGGACACUGAGAUCAUGACCUGAGGGGAAAGGAAGAGUCCCACACUUAACCUGCUUAACCAACUAAGCCACCUAAGCGCCCCUUAGCACUUGCAGUUUCAUUACUUCAUCUUCAUGGGGAACCAUCUCCUUGUAUCCCAGAACUCUGGCUUUUAUCUGUAGGGGUACUGAACACAUAGCUUCUAGUCAAUCCACUGCUGCUUUUUCUAGGUCACUUCUGGAUGUGGUGGUACUGCAUUUAUAGCAACACCUUCUGUUCCCUGUUGGGCUUGUAACCUAUGGUGCAUGCAAUAACUUUAUUAAAUUAGAAAAACAUUUUCCCUUUUUGAAAGCAAACCAUCACACAAACAGAACUACAGUGUGCAUGCGGAAUGAAUAUUUUAUUACUAGAUUAUAAAAAUAAAAUACAAAAUAAUUUUAAAACAGAACUUAAAACACUGUACAAAGCUUUAAUAUGAUACAAAUGGGAAAAUUAAAUAAAUAAUUACACUUUUAUGUACA